GGAUCUCUUAAACAAACAUUCAAUGGUAAUCUUGAUAAAAAAUAAAUUAAGGACGUCUCGCUACGAAAACUUAUAAGUAGGCACAGGCCUGUGAUAUAUAAAUUUCCUAUGAGUAAACUCUUUAAAUAUAAAACUUUAAACAACGUUAACUGAAUCAUCUAAAUAACGUUAACAAAAAUCAACCGAGAAAUCGUUAGUAGUGGCGAACAAAAGCGAUUAUAGCUGUUUCACGUUUUUCAAUUUAUUAAGGUUUAUUUAUAAACCACUCAAAAAGGUAUUAGUCCUGUUAUUUAAUUGAAUUUCGGGUAUUAAAUAAGUAAUAUGAAAACUUAUUUUGUAGGAAUAAAGGAGAUCCACCUUCUAAGCUUCUUAAAAUUUUUUAAUCGAUAGUAAACGAGUACUGUGAAAAAAAGAUGAAAAAUUCCGUAAGGAAAACUCAAUGAAAUUGGAUGUUUCAAAAUGUUCGAAGUUUAAAUUUUAAUGACGAAAUGCCUUUUGCAUAAUGAGUCAGCAAGUUAGUAAGUAAAGCAAGUUAAAGUAAAAAUAUUAAAGCAAAUGUGAAGUAUUGCUUACUAAACCUGAAACCAAGUGAUCUAACCAUGAACAAGUAGAAAACGCAUUAACAUGUCUUUGAAGACUCAACCCGUAUAUGUAGCAAAAUAUAGGGACGAUUUGUGGUUAGGAGUGAAAGACUAAUCAAACUUGGAAAUAGCCGGUUUUUCACGAAACGUAUUAUAGUACGGUAUUAAUUUGUUUGUGUAAACUGUAGGUAAAGUUCAAAUUAAAUUUAGGGAUUUAUAAAUUUACUAGGUUUAAUUUAUCUUUUUAAUUAUAGCUUAAUAAAAUUAAUAAACAGUUUUUAGGCGACAAGGUUUAAGAACAAGAGGAAAACAAUCCAGACCGUAUAUUAAGAUCUCAAAAGUAUAAAUUAAGUGUAUAAGUUUUUAAAAGUAUCAAAUAUAAGAAAAAAAUAAGCUUAGAAGCAGUUUUUUAUUAGAGAAAGCGUUUUAGCUCAUUAUUUUUUCUUUUUUAAAUAAAAAUAAAGGAGGCUUAAAUUAUAUAUCGAAAUAACGGAUUAAAUUAGUUAAUGGUAGUGAAACGUUCUGUAAAUUUGUUAUUAAUUUUAAAAUUAAUAAACUAAUCUCAGAAGUGCCAAUGCUGACAUGAGUAGCGAAAACUAUGUUAAUAAAUCGUAGUCAUUUAAUGUUUAAGGUUUUCAACGUAAUUUUAAAUUCGUUGAGUUAAUCGGUCCUUAAGAAGAGAGUGAGUGAAAGCUGUAUUCGAUAGGAUAAAUAAAUUAUUGAUUAUAUGUAAUGCUUAAAUUAUGAAAAGAAACAAAAAAGUUAAAAAACUUUAUUUUGUGGUGUGUAGCAAGCUAUUUUUGUUUUUCGAGAAAAAAUUAUAAUCAAAAAACCGUACUUAAACCGACGCUGGUGAACUUAUUAAAUAAGAUUAAAAUGAAUGAAAAAAUUAUAUUUAAGGAACUUGGCAAAUUAACUCUGUAAGUUCGCGAUAAAGAGGGCCUUUACGCAAAUUAGAGGCGGAAAAAAAGAAAACAGCGACUGUUUACCAAAAACAUAGGACUUUGCAAAUUGAAAAAAAAGUAUAAAGUCUGACGUCUGCCCGGUGCUCAAAAAUUAUCAAUUUUAGUGAAAGCAAAAAAUUUUAAAUGUGAGUAAACGGCGGUUCUAACUAUAAGAAUCCUUAGGUAGCGAAAUUCCUUGGCGGGUAAAUUCCGUCCUGCAUGAAUGACGUCACGAUUGUUUUACUGUCUUAAAUAUAAAUUCAGCGAAAUUACACAGCCUGUGAAAAUGCAGGCUACUUACAGUAAGACGGAAAGACCCUAGAUCCUUUACUUGAUUCUCAUAUUGUAAAAAAUUAUAUUACUGCGUAGGAUAAGUGGGAGUAAUACGUUGUUGAAAUACCACUCUAUAAAAUAAUGUUUUUACUGCAUUUACAAGUACUUUAAAGACAGUAUGAGAAAGAAAGUUUACUUGGGACGAGUGUCUCCUAAAAGGUAACGGAGAUGUACGAAGGUAAAUUAUAAAUCAUAUAAUAGUAAAAAUUUGCUUAACAAUUAGAUUGAUAAAUCAAGUUGGGACUUACGUCAGUUAUAGUGACCCGGUAUUUAAGUGUGGAAUUUAAUACCGUUCAACAGAUAAAAGGAACUCUAGGGAUAACAGAUUCAUCGUGAUUAAGAGUUCGUAUUAAUGUCACGGUUUGAUACCUCGAUGUCGACUCAUCUUAUCCUGAAACUGAAGCAGGUUUCAAGGGUCUAGUUGUUCGCUAGUUAAAAAGGUACGUGAGUUGGGUUCAGAACGUCGUGAGACAGUUCGGUCGUGUGAUUCGUUGUUUACUAAAAAAAGAGACGUACUUUUUAAAAGUAACUAGCUUUAAAUUUUAAAGCUAAAUUAAUAUUACAGAUAAGAAAUUAUUUAAUUAAACUUAAAUGAUGGGCUUAUACAUUAACUCCAAAUGUUGAUUAAUGAACUGGUUUUACAACCAGUGAUUCCCUUAUUUAAAUAAAAAAUCAGUUUUAUAUAAAAUAAAAGCGGGACAUAAAUUUAGUUAUGUAUUACUUAUAAAUAACAUAAACUAAAGAAAACACAUAAA
rnacentral:rRNA from 1 species